rnacentral:tRNA from 1 species
GUCCCUAUCGUCUAGAGGCCUAGGACAUCGCCCUUUCACGGCGGUAACCGGGGUUCGAAUCCCCGUAGGGACGCCU